GACGAACGCUGGCGGCGUGCCUAAUACAUGCAAGUCGAGCGAAGUUUUUCUGGUGCUUGCACCGGAAAAACUUAGCGGCGAACGGGUGAGUAACACGUAAAGAACCUGCCUCAUAGACUGGGACAACUAUUGGAAACGAUAGCUAAUACCGGAUAACAGCAUUAACUGCAUGGUUGAUGUUUAAAAGUUGGUUUUGCUAACACUAUGAGAUGGCUUUGCGGUGCAUUAGCUAGUUGGUGGGGUAAAGGCCUACCAAGGCGACGAUGCAUAGCCGACCUGAGAGGGUGAUCGGCCACACUGGGACUGAGACAAGGCCCAGACUCCUACGGGAGGCAGCAGUAGGGAAUCUUCCGCAAUGGGCGAAAGCCUGACGGAGCAACGCCGCGUGAGUGAAGAAGGAUUUCGGUUCGUAAAGCUCUGUUGUUAGGGAAGAAUGAUUGUGUAGUAACUAUACACAGUAGAGACGGUACCUAACCAGAAAGCCACGGCUAACUACGUG
rnacentral:rRNA from 1 species